rnacentral:sRNA from 1 species
CCCUCCCCAGCCCUGGCGUGGGCCCAGACCGUCUCAGGCAGCAAUGGGGUUCCUGCAGCUGCUGGUCGUAGCGGUGCUGGCAUCCGAACACCGGGUGGCUGGUGCAGCCGAGGUCUUCGGGAACUCCAGCGAGGACUCUCCUUUCCAAUGCCUCGGAAACAGGCACUGCCAGUGGACUGGUUUUCAUCCUUAGACCGGAGCAGAGUACAUGCACUUGGUACUUGGGGACUUCAGGCAUACAGCCUGUCCAGAAUAUGGCUAUCCUACUCUCCUACUCAGAAAGAGAUCCUAUCCCUGGAGGCUGUAAUUUGGAGUUUGAUUUAGAUAUUGAUCCCAACAUUUACUUGGAGUAUAAUUUCUUUGAAACGACUAUCAAGUUUGCCCCAGCAAACCUAGGCUAUGCGAGAGGUGUAGAUCCCCCAUCAUGUGACGCUGGGACAGACCAGGACUCCAGGUGGAGGUUGCAGUAUGAUGUCUAUCAGUAUUUUCUGCCUGAGAAUGACCUCACUGAGGAGAUGUUGCUGAAGCAUCUGCAGAGGAUGGUCAGCGUGCCCCAGGUGAAGGCCAGUGCUCUCAAGUGAAUCUGAUUCUGACAGCUGUCGCUGGAAGCGUC